rnacentral:rRNA from 1 species
UACGUAGGGGGCAAGCGUUGUCCGGAUUUAUUGGGCGUAAAGAGCGUGUAGGCGGCUAGAUAGGUCCGUUGUGAAAACUCGAGGCUCAACCUCGAGACGUCGAUGGAAACCAUCUGGCUAGAGUCCGGAAGAGGAGAGUGGAAUUCCUGGUGUAGCGGUGAAAUGCGCAGAUAUCGGGAAGAACACCUAUGGCGAAGGCAGCUCUCUGGGACGGUACUGACGCUGAGACGCGAAAGCGUGGGGAGCGAACAGG